UAACCGUUGCCGGCGUGCCUAAUACAUGCAAGUCGAGCGGACAGAUGGGAGCUUGCUCCCUGAUGUUAGCGGCGGACGGGUGAGUAACACGUGGGUAACCUGCCUGUAAGACUGGGAUAACUCCGGGAAACCGGGGCUAAUACCGGAUGGUUGUUUGAACCGCAUGGUUCAAACAUAAAAGGUGGCUUCGGCUACCACUUACAGAUGGACCCGCGGCGCAUUAGCUAGUUGGUGAGGUAACGGCUCACCAAGGCAACGAUGCGUAGCCGACCUGAGAGGGUGAUCGGCCACACUGGGACUGAGACACGGCCCAGACUCCUACGGGAGGCAGCAGUAGGGAAUCUUCCGCAAUGGACGAAAGUCUGACGGAGCAACGCCGCGUGAGUGAUGAAGGUUUUCGGAUCGUAAAGCUCUGUUGUUAGGGAAGAACAAGUACCGUUCGAAUAGGGCGGUACCUUGACGGUACCUAACCAGAAAGCCACGGCUAACUACGUGCCAGCAGCCGCGGUAAUACGUAGGUGGCAAGCGUUGUCCGGAAUUAUUGGGCGUAAAGGGCUCGCAGGCGGUUUCUUAAGUCUGAUGUGAAAGCCCCCGGCUCAACCGGGGAGGGUCAUUGGAAACUGGGGAACUUGAGUGCAGAAGAGGAGAGUGGAAUUCCACGUGUAGCGGUGAAAUGCGUAGAGAUGUGGAGGAACACCAGUGGCGAAGGCGACUCUCUGGUCUGUAACUGACGCUGAGGAGCGAAAGCGUGGGGAGCGAACAGGAUUAGAUACCCUGGUAGUCCACGCCGUAAACGAUGAGUGCUAAGUGUUAGGGGGUUUCCGCCCCUUAGUGCUGCAGCUAACGCAUUAAGCACUCCGCCUGGGGAGUACGGUCGCAAGACUGAAACUCAAAGGAAUUGACGGGGGCCCGCACAAGCGGUGGAGCAUGUGGUUUAAUUCGAAGCAACGCGAAGAACCUUACCAGGUCUUGACAUCCUCUGACAAUCCUAGAGAUAGGACGUCCCCUUCGGGGGCAGAGUGACAGGUGGUGCAUGGUUGUCGUCAGCUCGUGUCGUGAGAUGUUGGGUUAAGUCCCGCAACGAGCGCAACCCUUGAUCUUAGUUGCCAGCAUUCAGUUGGGCACUCUAAGGUGACUGCCGGUGACAAACCGGAGGAAGGUGGGGAUGACGUCAAAUCAUCAUGCCCCUUAUGACCUGGGCUACACACGUGCUACAAUGGACAGAACAAAGGGCAGCGAAACCGCGAGGUUAAGCCAAUCCCACAAAUCUGUUCUCAGUUCGGAUCGCAGUCUGCAACUCGACUGCGUGAAGCUGGAAUCGCUAGUAAUCGCGGAUCAGCAUGCCGCGUAUUGACCUGUCCA
rnacentral:rRNA from 1 species